rnacentral:rRNA from 1 species
CACGUAGGGUGCGAGCGUUGUCCGGAAUUAUUGGGCGUAAAGAGCUCGUAGGCGGUGUGUCGCGUCGGCCGUGAAAACCUGCAGCUUAACUGUGGGCUUGCGGUCGAUACGGGCAUCACUGGAGUUCGGCAGGGGAGACUGGAAUUCCUGGUGUAGCGGUGAAAUGCGCAGAUAUCAGGAGGGAACACCGGUGGCGAAGGCGGCAUCCCUGGUCGUGCG